rnacentral:sRNA from 1 species
AUUUCUGUGUCCUGGUAGAACCAUGUGAUAGUGAACCAAAACGUGACCAUUGAUUCCUUUUCCCAUAUUCUGAUCUUACCUGGAAACCCGUGCUCUCAAAUUUUGUGGGGUUAUCUGGCAGAUUGACAGUGACAACAGUCCCAUCUGGUGAAGGCUUAGGAUAUUAGGAUAUUUCUUACUUCUUAUUGUUUGAAGAAACAAUUGUGAAUAUAAAUUAAUCAAAAUUAGAGGCCAGGCACAGUGGCUUACCCCUGUAAUGCCAGCACUUUGCGAGGCUGAGGCGGGCGAAUCAUCUGAGGUUGGGAGUUUGACACCAGACUGGCCAACAUGGUAAAACCCCUUCUCUACUAAAAGAAAAAUACACACACACACAAAAAAAGUAGCCAGGUGCGGUCGCACAUGUCUGUAAUCCCAACUACGUGGAAGGCUGAGGCACAAGAAUUGCUUGAACCUGGGAGGCAGAGGUUGCAGUGAGCUGAGAUCGCACCACUGCACUCCAGUCUGGCCAACAGAACGAGACUCUGUCUCAGAAAUUAAUUAAUUAAUCAAAAUUAAUUGUCCAGCUUUGAUUUAGAAUCUUAACUGCUAUUACACGUCUCUUCUGUCUACCUUCAAAUAGGUCAUCUAAUACAUGGGAGAAACAUGGAUUUUGGAGUGUUUCUUGGGUAAGUACAGAACAAAGGGUCAGGCAUGGUGGUUCACGCCUGUAAUCCCAGCUUUUUGGGAGGCUGACACGGGUGGAUCACGAGGUCAGGAGUUCAAGACCAGCCUGGCCAAGAUGGUGAAACCCCGUCUCUACUAAAAACAUAAAAAUUAGCCAGGCAUGGUGGUGGGCAUCUGUAAUCCCGGCUACUUGGGAGCCUGAGGCAGAGACUUUUUUGAACCUGCAAGGCGGAGGUUGCAGUGAGCCGAGAUCGCGCCACUGCACUGCAGCUUGGGAUACAGAGCCAGACUCCAUCUCAAAAAAAAAAAAAAAAAAGAACACAGAACUGUUUCGUUCUGUAGGAAGAGUAGGUUGUAUUAUAUUGAUGAUAAGUCCCAAGUCAUACCCAAAAUGUGAUCAUAAGUGAAGAUAAAUGGAUUACUUGAGUGCUAAGACAAGAGGGACAUGCUCUUCUAUUUUAUGUGUCCAUCUUGACCUUUCUGAAAAAAUAAGAAUAUUGUAAUUAGCAUUCUAUGUUUGAAUCUGAGGCUCCCUAUUUAUAAGCUGUGUGAUAUUGGGAGAGUUACCUGACUUCUCUGAACCUCAAUUUUAUCAUUUGGAAAACACAAUAAAUAUACCAUAUUGUAAAGGUCUUGUUAGGAUUGAUCGUGGUGACUCGGUAAAUAAAGCUCCUAGUGUAAUGCCUGGCCCUCAUCAUCAUGUUGAUCAUUACUAUCACUGUGUUUCUGAAAUGUCACUGAAACAUGUCUUUUAUAGGUGGAACAUAAAUAAUGAUACCUGGGUCAUAACUGAGCAACUAAAACCUUUAACAGUGAAUUUGGACUUCCAAAGAAACAACAAAACUGUCUUCAAGGCUUCAAGCUUUGCUGGCUAUGUGGGCAUGUUAACAGGAUUCAAACCAGUAAGGAGUCUGUUGUUACAUAAUUAUACAGGUAGCCUUUUGUCCUAUUACUGUUACGUAAAAGUUGAAAUCUAAGAAUAUGAGGACCUAAAGGGAAUAUGAAGCCCCAUUUCACCCCCUUGUACUUCUUGUCACUUCAUAGGUAUGAGAUCUCGUGGUAGAGAAGAGUAGAAAGGAAACGGAGGUUUCUGAGCCUGUUCUGGGAUAAAGAGCAUGUGGCCGGGUGUCAAGGGCUGGGAGUCACAAUCUGAUUUCUAGUCCUAGGUCUUCCGCUCACUUAGGCAAGUCAGGCGUUCAUUCCCUGCCCUUCAGUUUCCUGUCCAAAAAGCGUUGCCAGUGAUACCCCACCUACUUAUCUCACAUACUAGAAUAAAAAAUGCUUUGAACUUUUUAAAAAGCCUUUUAUGGUUUUGAUUUAUUUUUGCCUUCCCCAUUACCAAAGCUAGGCCUUUAUAUCCCACUCUGAAGUACAGUGAGCGACAGGGCCUUAAAGCGCAUGGUUGAUGUUUCUGACUUCGUUGCUUUGUCUUUUUCUCAGGGACUGUUCAGUCUUUCACUGAAUGAACGUUUCAGUAUAAAUGGUGGUUAUCUGGGUAAGUAGAGCAUUCUCAAGUGAAAUGGGAAUCUCAGAGGUUUUUUAUGAGGAAGGCUGGACUGUGCCUUCUGGUUACAAAGUCCAACCUCUUCCGGUUCCCGACUGGUUACAAAGUCUAACCUCUUCUGGUUCCUGACUGGUUAUAUAGUCCAGCCUCUUCCGGGUCCUGACUGGUUACAUAGUGUAACCUCUUCCGGUUCCUGACAUUGUGUUCAUCUCUUCCAGGUAUUCUAGAAUGGAUUCUGGGAAAGAAAGAUGCCAUGUGGAUAGGGUUCCUCACUAGAACAGUUCUGGAAAAUAGCACAAGUUAUGAAGAAGCCAAGAAUUUAUUGACCAAGACCAAGAUAUUGGCCCCAGCCUACUUUAUCCUGGGAGGCAACCAGUCUGGGGAAGGUUGUGUGAUUACACGAGACAGAAAGGAAUCAUUGGAUGUAUAUGAACUCGAUGCUAAGCAGGGUAGAUGGUAUGUGGUACAAACAAAUUAUGACCGUUGGAAACAUCCCUUCUUCCUUGAUGAUCGCAGAACGCCUGCAAAGAUGUGUCUGAACCGCACCAGCCAAGAGAAUAUCUCAUUUGAAACCAUGUAUGAUGUCCUGUCAACAAAACCUGUCCUCAACAAGCUGACCGUAUACACAACCUUGAUAGAUGUUACCAAAGGUCAAUUCGAAACUUACCUGCGGGACUGCCCUGACCCUUGUAUAGGUUGGUGAGCACACGUCUGGCCUACAGAAUGCGGCCUCUGAGACAUGAAGACACCAUCUCCAUGUGACCGAACACUGCAGCUGUCUGACCUUCCAAAGACUAAGACUCGCGGCAGGUUCUCUUUGAGUCAAAAGCUUGUCUUCGUCCAUCUGUUGACAAAUGACAGACCUUUUUUUUUUCCCCCUAUCAGUUGAUUUUUCUUAUUUACAGAUAACUUCUUUAGGGGAAGUAAAACAGUCAUCUAGAAUUCAUUGAGUUUUGUUUCACUUUGACAUUUGGGGAUCUGGUGGGCAGUCGAACCAUGGUGAACUCCACCUCCGUGGAAUAAAUGGAGAUUCAGCGUGGGUGUUGAAUCCAGCACGUCUGUAUGAGUAACGGGACAGUAAACACUCCACAUUCUUCAGUUUUUCACUUCUACCUACAUAUUUGUAUGUUUUUCUGUAUAACAGCCUUUUCCUUCUGGUUCUAACUGCUCUUAAAAUUAAUAUAUCAUUAUCUUUGCUGUUAUUGACAGUGAUAUAAUUUUAUUACAUAUGAUUAGAGGGAUGAGACAGACAUUCACCUGUAUAUUUCUUUUAAUGGGCACAAAAUGGGCCCUUGCCUCUAAAUAGCACGUUUUGGGGUUCAAGAAGUAAUCAGUAUGCAAAGCAAUCUUUUAUACAAUAAUUGAAGUGUUCCCUUUUUCAUAAUUACUCUACUUCCCAGUAACCCUAAGGAAGUUGCUAACUUAAAAAACCGCAUCCCAGGUUCUGUUAAUUUAGUAAAUAAACAAGUCAAAGACUUGUGGAAAAUAGGAAGUGAACCCAUAUUUUAAAUUCUCAUAAGUAGCAUUCAUGUAAUAAACAGGUUUUUAGUUUGUUCUUCAGAUUGAUAGAUAGUUUUAAAGAAAUUUUAGUAGUUACUAAAAUUAUGUUACUUUAUUUUUCAGAAAUCAAACUGCUUAUGAAAAGUACUAAUAGAACUUGUUAACCUUUCUAACCUUCACGAUUAACUGUGAAAUGUAC